rnacentral:rRNA from 1 species
UGACUNGAGUGCAGAAGGGGAGAGUGGAAUUCCAUGUGUAGCGGUGAAAUGCGUAGAUAUAUGGAGGAACACCAGUGGCGAAAGCGGCUCUCUGGUCUGUCACUGACGCUGAGGCUCGAAAGCGUGGGUAGCGAACAGGAUUAGAUACCCUGGUAGUNCACGCCGUAAACGAUGAGUGCUAGGUGUUAGGCCCUUUCCGGGGCUUAGUGCCGGAGCUAACGCAAUAAGCACUCCGCCUGGGGAGUACGACCGCAAGGUUGAAACUCAAAGGAAUUGACGGGGGCCCGCACAAGCGGUGGAGCAUGUGGUUUAAUUCGAAGCAACGCGAAGAACCUUACCAGGUCUUGACAUCCCGAUGCUAUUCUUAGAGAUAGGAAGUUACUUCGGUACAUCGGAGACAGGUGGUGCAUGGUUGUCGUCAGCUCGUGUCGUGAGAUGUUGGGUUAAGUCCCGCAACGAGCGCAACCCUUAUUGUUAGUUGCCAUCAUUAAGUUGGGCACUCUAGCGAGACUGCCGGUAAUAAACCGGAGGAAGGUGGGGAUGACGUCAAAUCAUCAUGCCCCUUAUGACCUGGGCUACACACGUGCUACAAUGGUCGGUACAACGAGUUGCGAGCCGGUGACGGCAAGCUAAUCUCUGAAAGCCGAUCUCAGUUCGGACUGGAGGCUGCAACUCGCCUCCAUGAAGUCGGAAUCGCUAGUAAUCGCGGAUCAGCACGCCGCGGUGAAUACGUUCCCGGGCCUUGUACACACCGCCCGUCACACCACGAGAGUUUGUAACACCCGAAGUCGGUGAGGUAACCUUUUAGGGG